UUAAGCGACUAAGCGUACACGGUGGAUGCCCUGGCAGUCAGAGGCGAUGAAGGACGUGCUAAUCUGCGAAAAGCGUCGGUAAGGUGAUAUGAACCGUUAUAACCGGCGAUGUCCGAAUGGGGAAACCCAGUGCAAUUCGUUGCACUAUCGUUAACUGAAUACAUAGGUUAACGAGGCGAACCGGGGGAACUGAAACAUCUAAGUACCCCGAGGAAAAGAAAUCAACCGAGAUUCCCCCAGUAGCGGCGAGCGAACGGGGAGCAGCCCAGAGUCUGAAUCAGCUUGUGUGUUAGUGGAACGGUCUGGAAAGUCCGACGGUACAGGGUGAUAGUCCCGUACACCAAAAUGCACAGGUUGUGAACUCGAAGAGUAGGGCGGGACACGUGGUAUCCUGUCUGAAUAUGGGGGGACCAUCCUCCAAGGCUAAAUACUCCUGACUGACCGAUAGUGAACCAGUACCGUGAGGGAAAGGCGAAAAGAACCCCGGCGAGGGGAGUGAAAAAGAACCUGAAACCGUGUACGUACAAGCAGUGGGAGCACCUUCGGGUGUGACUGCGUACCUUUUGUAUAAUGGGUCAGCGACUUAUAUUCUGUAGCAAGGUUAACCGUAUAGGGGAGCCGCAGGGAAACCGAGUCUUAACUGGGCGUUAAGUUGCAGGGUAUAGACCCGAAACCCGGUGAUCUAGCCAUGGGCAGGUUGAAGGUUGGGUAACACUAACUGGAGGACCGAACCGACUAAUGUUGAAAAAUUAGCGGAUGACUUGUGGCUGGGGGUGAAAGGCCAAUCAAACCGGGAGAUAGCUGGUUCUCCCCGAAAGCUAUUUAGGUAGCGCCUCGUGAAUUCAUCUUCGGGGGUAGAGCACUGUUUCGGCUAGGGGGUCAUCCCGACUUACCAACCCGAUGCAAACUACGAAUACCGAAGAAUGUUAUCACGGGAGACACACGGCGGGUGCUAACGUCCGUCGUGAAGAGGGAAACAACCCAGACCGCCAGCUAAGGUCCCAAAGUCAUGGUUAAGUGGGAAACGAUGUGGGAAGGCACAGACAGCCAGGAUGUUGGCUUAGAAGCAGCCAUCAUUUAAAGAAAGCGUAAUAGCUCACUGGUCGAGUCGGCCUGCGCGGAAGAUGUAACGGGGCUAAACCAUGCACCGAAGCUGCGGCAGCGACACUAUGUGUUGUUGGGUAGGGGAGCGUUCUGUAAGCCUGCGAAGGUGNNNNNNNNNNUGCUGGAGGUAUCAGAAGUGCGAAUGCUGACAUAAGUAACGAUAAAGCGGGUGAAAAGCCCGCUCGCCGGAAGACCAAGGGUUCCUGUCCAACGUUAAUCGGGGCAGGGUGAGUCGACCCCUAAGGCGAGGCCGAAAGGCGUAGUCGAUGGGAAACAGGUUAAUAUUCCUGUACUUGGUGUUACUGCGAAGGGGGGACGGAGAAGGCUAUGUUAGCCGGGCGACGGUUGUCCCGGUUUAAGCAUGUAGGCUGGUUAUCCAGGCAAAUCCGGAUAAUCAAGGCUGAGGUGUGAUGACGAGGCACUACGGUGCUGAAGUAACAAAUGCCCUGCUUCCAGGAAAAGCCUCUAAGCAUCAGGUAACAUCAAAUCGUACCCCAAACCGACACAGGUGGUCAGGUAGAGAAUACCAAGGCGCUUGAGAGAACUCGGGUGAAGGAACUAGGCAAAAUGGUGCCGUAACUUCGGGAGAAGGCACGCUGGUGUGUAGGUGAAGUCCCUGCGGAUGGAGCUGAGACCAGUCGAAGAUACCAGCUGGCUGCAACUGUUUAUUAAAAACACAGCACUGUGCAAACACGAAAGUGGACGUAUACGGUGUGACGCCUGCCCGGUGCCGGAAGGUUAAUUGAUGGGGUUAUCCGUAAGGAGAAGCUCUUGAUCGAAGCCCCGGUAAACGGCGGCCGUAACUAUAACGGUCCUAAGGUAGCGAAAUUCCUUGUCGGGUAAGUUCCGACCUGCACGAAUGGCGUAAUGAUGGCCAGGCUGUCUCCACCCGAGACUCAGUGAAAUUGAACUCGCUGUGAAGAUGCAGUGUACCCGCGGCAAGACGGAAAGACCCCGUGAACCUUUACUAUAGCUUGACACUGAACAUUGAGCCUUGAUGUGUAGGAUAGGUGGGAGGCUUUGAAGCGUGGACGCCAGUCUGCGUGGAGCCAACCUUGAAAUACCACCCUUUAAUGUUUGAUGUUCUAACGUUGGCCCCUGAUCGGGGUUGCGGACAGUGUCUGGUGGGUAGUUUGACUGGGGCGGUCUCCUCCCAAAGCGUAACGGAGGAGCACGAAGGUUAGCUAAUCCUGGUCGGACAUCAGGAGGUUAGUGCAAUGGCAUAAGCUAGCUUGACUGCGAGCGUGACGGCGCGAGCAGGUGCGAAAGCAGGUCAUAGUGAUCCGGUGGUUCUGAAUGGAAGGGCCAUCGCUCAACGGAUAAAAGGUACUCCGGGGAUAACAGGCUGAUACCGCCCAAGAGUUCAUAUCGACGGCGGUGUUUGGCACCUCGAUGUCGGCUCAUCACAUCCUGGGGCUGAAGUAGGUCCCAAGGGUAUGGCUGUUCGCCAUUUAAAGUGGUACGCGAGCUGGGUUUAGAACGUCGUGAGACAGUUCGGUCCCUAUCUGCCGUGGGCGCUGGAGAAUUGAGGGGGGCUGCUCCUAGUACGAGAGGACCGGAGUGGACGCAUCACUGGUGUUCGGGUUGUCAUGCCAAUGGCACUGCCCGGUAGCUAAAUGCGGAAGAGAUAAGUGCUGAAAGCAUCUAAGCACGAAACUUGCCCCGAGAUGAGUUCUCCCUGAGACUUUAAGUCUCCUGAAGGAACGUUGAAGACGACGACGUUGAUAGGCCGGGUGUGUAAGCGCAGCGAUGCGUUGAGCUAACCGGUACUAAUGAACCGUGAGGCUUAACCUU
rnacentral:rRNA from 1 species